rnacentral:misc_RNA from 1 species
AAGUCGUAACAAGGUUUCCGUAGGUGAACCUGCGGAAGGAUCAUUAUCGAGUUCGGGUCCUCUGGGCCCAACCUCCAACCCCAUGUUAACUACUCUUGUUGCUUUGGCGGGUCGUGGCUUCUGGCCCCACCGGCCUCCGCUGGUGAGCACCCGUCAGAGACCCAUUAUUAAAUUCUUAACCUGUCAUGUCUGAAAAACAAAAAAUAAGCUAAAAACUUUCAACAACGGAUCUCUUGGUUCUG